AUGGCUCUCUCAUCCCUCUUCGUCUCCCUCCCCCUCCCCAUCCCGAAGCCGCCAUCCACCUCCAAAUCAAACCGCUUCCUCCCUAUCCGGGCCUCUGCCGCCGCCGCCACCGCCUCCCCAUCUUUUGACCUGCGCCGCUACUGGACCUCGCUGAUCUCGGAGGUCGAGGGCGAGCUCGAUGCCGCGAUGCCCAUCCGCCCGCCGGAGAGCAUCCACAACGCCAUGCGCCACGCCGUCCUCCCGGGCGCCGGAAAGGAGGGCGCCGCCAAGCGCGCGCCCCCGGUUCUCUGCGUCGCCGCCUGCGAGCUCCUCGGCGCGCCGCGCGCCGCCGCGCUCCCUACCGCCGCCGCGCUGGAGAUGCUCCACGCGGCGUCCCUCGUGCACGACGACUUGCCGUGCUUUGACGCCGCGCCCACCCGCCGAGGUCGCCCGUCUACCCACGCGGCCUACGGCACGGACAUGGCCGUCCUCGCAGGAGAUGCGCUCUUCCCGCUGGCCUACACCCACGUCAUCUCCCGCACCCCCUCCCCCGACCCCGUGUCGCACGCCGUCCUCCUCCGCGUUCUCGCAGAACUCGCGCGCACUGUGGGAUCCACCGGCAUGGCGGCCGGCCAGUUCCUCGACCUUGCCGGUGCCAGCGCCCUCGGCGAAGCCGAGGUCAUGCAAGUCCUGACCAAGAAGUUCGGCGAGAUGGCGGAGUGCUCAGCCGCCUGCGGGGCUAUGCUAGGCGGUGCGGGGCCCGACGAGGAGGCCGCGUUGCGGCGAUACGGCCGCACCAUCGGCGUCCUGUACGAGCUCGUAGACGACAUGCGGAGCGCGUCGGGAAACGGCAAGAUGAGGAGCAACGCCAGCGUCCUGCGCUCUCUGGGCAUGGACCGUGCGCUCGGCAUCGUCGAGGAGCUCAAGGCGCAGGCCAAGACGGAGGCGGACAGGUUCGGUGAUAAGUAUGGCGACCGGGUGCUGCCUCUGUACAGCUUCGUGGACUACGCCGUGGAGAGGGGCUUUGAGCUCCAGGAUGCAGCCACCGCGAAGCUUUAA
rnacentral:rRNA from 1 species